CUUGCCCAGGGGUGCACCUGGGGAAGCAGUGCGGGACCCACACUCCCGGUGACAAAGCCUAACUGGGAUUCUUCUUUCGCACGAGAGCUUUUUAAAUGUCUCUGCUGGGUUCUGCAGAGGAAGAUCUGAGAGGAUGGCUCACUCCGCCGUCCUGUCUGCUCUGCCUGGACUCCCGCCAGUUUGUCCAGAUUCCACGAGAAAUGCACAGACAUGCAGCAGGUCCACUGUGCACGGGCGUCGGUCACUUGCGGUGGCCAGCCGCUGGCGCUUCAGGACACUGCACCCCGUGGACCUGAGCGAAGGGCGGCUGCCAGGACACAGCAGACUCCUCUCCUCACCCACCCGCUCGGCCUGCCUUUGGAAAUAAGAGCUGAGGGUGAAUUCCUUCCAGGUCGUGCACAUGGCGUCUCCAAUUCACCACAGCCUUGGGCCCCGGGAAGGGCCCACGGAGGGGGGUACUCACUGUUGCCCCCCAUUUGGGGAAACACAUUCCCAGCCUGACCUAAACUUUUUGUUCGGCACAUGAGCCCUGUAGCCACCAGGGGGCAGCAUCAGAAUUGUAAAAAAAAAAAAAAAACUUCAAAAAUAAUCUCCACGUGAAGGAGGAAUUCGGAAUUUAUGGGUGAAGAAGCCUGACAGGAUUGAAGUUACACUUCUGUGAAAGCACAUCUUAGCUAUUUCAGGACCAGCAAGUGCAGAAUAGAAAGAUGGCAUUUUGAAGGUUUUCUGGAUGGAACUCCACACCCGCCUGCACUUAAACACAAACAUUUCAGACCUACAGUUCUUACAGUUGGUUCUGAGGGUUCCCACAGAUGCUCAGAGUAGCAUUUCCUACUUCCUGCACUGACUCCGGGUGGAGGGAAGGAGGAAACAUGCCCCCAGGCCUGGGGGCUCGCCUUGGAUUUCCUCGGAUGACCUCAGGCCCUGGAAGGGAGAGCCCAGGCCUGUGGAGUGUGUGGCUGGUUUGUGCUCCACACCAUGUGCCAGCGUUCUGCAUUACAGAAGUGUCGGUAAGGAACCUGGGCGUGGCUGGGAAUGUGACCUUGUCCCAUGGUCAGUGGAAGCCCGCGCUCGGGCUGCUGGGAGGCCGGGUGGACUAGCCAGGCCAGGCCGUGGCCUUCUACUGGAAGCUCAGGCAUGUCCCUCCUGGUAGGUGUCUCUUAGGUUGCUGCUUAGGUUGUCUUUCCUCCUGUGUCUGGAGGGAGGCUGAGGACCCGCUGUUGCUGGGUCUUGCUGUCCCUGGGACUGCAGCACCACAGGCUGCAGGGCGCUGGCACCCUCCGGAGCUGGGCUCUGCUGUGGGGAGCAGUGCCCAUCUCUGGGUUCCACCCGUGCCCAGCAUGUUUCAGGGGAGGCAGCUGGGAGCAGACAGAUGCUGGGCUCGGGGCCAGGUGACCCAUCUGCUAGUGUGUAAUCUUCAACCUCACUGAGCCCCACUUCCCUCAUCUUUUAAAAAUGGGAAUAGCGAUCUCUCUCAUAAUUGUUCCAAAAAUGAACAGAGGUCAUAUGCAAUGGAUCUUUAGGGCAGUGAAAUACUCCGUGUGACACUAUAAUGUGCUGCCUGUCCUUAUACACAUGCCCAGAGGCCUAGAAUGUGCAACCCAAAGGCAAGCUAUGGGCUCAGGGUGAAGAGAUGGACAGCGGUCUGUCAGUGACAAUGAGUGUGCCGGCUGCCGGGGACGUAGGCACUGGAGGCGCUGGGUGGGAGCGGCAAGAGGUGUGGACUAACGGCUCCACACAGUAGUCUGCUAGCAAAGAGGCUUUCCCUGGCCAGGCAUGUGUUCACUGCACUGUGAAUGCAUAACUUGGCUCAGCAUCAGCCACAGCCUGCUCAGAGAUGGUCCAGCUCCUCUCAGGUGUCACUGUGCUGAGCACUUGGCAUGGCUUCUUACUCCCAGUAGUAAAGAACCAUGCCCCAUGUCAGAAUUCUCCCACACUAUUAUUAUUAUUAUUGUUAUUAUU